rnacentral:tRNA from 1 species
GCCUGUGUAGCUCAGUGGAUAGAGCGUCGGCUUGCAGACCAAAGGGUCCUGGGUUCGAUUCCAGUCAAGGGCA